rnacentral:rRNA from 1 species
CCUACGGGCGGCUGCAGUGGGGAAUAUUGGACAAUGGGGGCAACCCUGAUCCAGCCAUGCCGUGUGUGUGAAGAAGGCCCUCGGGUUGUAAAGCACUUUCAGUGAGGAAGAACGCCUGGUGGUUAAUACCCAUCAGGAAAGACAUCACUCACAGAAGAAGCACCGGCUAACUCCGUGCCAGCAGCCGCGGUAAUACGGAGGGUGCGAGCGUUAAUCGGAAUUACUGGGCGUAAAGCGCGCGUAGGUGGCUUGAUAAGCCGGUUGUGAAAGCCCCGGGCUCAACCUGGGAACGGCAUCCGGAACUGUCAAGCUAGAGUGCAGGAGAGGAAGGUAGAUUUCCCGGUGUAGCGGUGAAAUGCGUAGAGAUCGGGAGGAAUACCAGUGGCGAAGGCGGCCUUCUGGACUGACACUGACACUGAGGUGCGAAAGCGUGGGUAGCAAACAGGAUUAGAUACCCUAGUAGUC